GAUGAACGCUGGCGGCGUGCCUAACACAUGCAAGUCGAACGGAGUCGUUUUGGAAAUCUCUUCGGAGAUGAAAUUCUCGACUUAGUGGCGGACGGGUGAGUAACGCGUGAGCAAUCUGCCUUUAAGAGGGGGAUAACAGUCGGAAACGGCUGCUAAUACCGCAUAAAGCAUCAAAUUCGCAUGUUUUUGAUGCCAAAGGAGCAAUCCGCUUUUAGAUGAGCUCGCGUCUGAUUAGCUGGUUGGCGGGGUAACGGCCCACCAAGGCGACGAUCAGUAGCCGGACUGAGAGGUUGAACGGCCACAUUGGGACUGAGACACGGCCCAGACUCCUACGGGAGGCAGCAGUGGGGAAUAUUGCGCAAUGGGGGAAACCCUGACGCAGCAACGCCGCGUGAUUGAAGAAGGCCUUCGGGUUGUAAAGAUCUUUAAUCAGGGACGAAACAAAUGACGGUAC
rnacentral:rRNA from 1 species